GGUUAAGCGACUAAGCGUACACGGUGGAUGCCCUGGCAGUCAGAGGCGAUGAAGGGCGUGCUAAUCUGCGAUAAGCGCCGGUAAGGUGAUAUGAACCGUUAUAACCGGCGAUACCCGAAUGGGGAAACCCAGUGUGACUCGUCACACUAUCAUUAACUGAAUCCAUAGGUUAAUGAGGCGAACCGGGGGAACUGAAACAUCUAAGUACCCCGAGGAAAAGAAAUCAACCGAGAUUCCCCCAGUAGCGGCGAGCGAACGGGGAGGAGCCCAGAGCCUGAAUCAGCAUGUGUGUUAGUGGAAGCGUCUGGAAAGGCGCGCGAUACAGGGUGACAGCCCCGUACACAAAAGCGCAUGUGCUGUGAGCUCGAUGAGUAGGGCGGGACACGUGGUAUCCUGUCUGAAUAUGGGGGGACCAUCCUCCAAGGCUAAAUACUCCUGACUGACCGAUAGUGAACCAGUACCGUGAGGGAAAGGCGAAAAGAACCCCGGCGAGGGGAGUGAAAAAGAACCUGAAACCGUGUACGUACAAGCAGUGGGAGCACCCUUUGGGGUGUGACUGCGUACCUUUUGUAUAAUGGGUCAGCGACUUAUAUUCUGUAGCAAGGUUAACCGAAUAGGGGAGCCGGAGGGAAACCGAGUCUUAAUUGGGCGUUAAGUUGCAGGGUAUAGACCCGAAACCCGGUGAUCUAGCCAUGGGCAGGUUGAAGGUUGGGUAACACUAACUGGAGGACCGAACCGACUAAUGUUGAAAAAUUAGCGGAUGACCUGUGGCUGGGGGUGAAAGGCCAAUCAAACCGGGAGAUAGCUGGUUCUCCCCGAAAGCUAUUUAGGUAGCGCCUCGUGAAUUCAUCUCCGGGGGUAGAGCACUGUUUCGGCUAGGGGGCCAUCCCGGCUUACCAACCCGAUGCAAACUGCGAAUACCGGAGAAUGUUAUCACGGGAGACACACGGCGGGUGCUAACGUCCGUCGUGAAGAGGGAAACAACCCAGACCGCCAGCUAAGGUCCCAAAGUCAUGGUUAAGUGGGAAACGAUGUGGGAAGGCCCAGACAGCCAGGAUGUUGGCUUAGAAGCAGCCAUCAUUUAAAGAAAGCGUAAUAGCUCACUGGUCGAGUCGGCCUGCGCGGAAGAUGUAACGGGGCUAAACCAUGCACCGAAGCUGCGGCAGCGA
rnacentral:rRNA from 1 species